UUCCAAAUCUCCUCCACCCUGAACAAGCCCGAUCCUGUCUGAUCUCAGAAGCUAAGCAGGGUUGGGCCUGGUUAGUACUUGGAUGGGAGACCACCUAGGAAGACUAGGCGCUGUAGGCG
rnacentral:rRNA from 1 species